rnacentral:lncRNA from 1 species
CAUGAACACGAAAUUGGCCGAAUAAGAUCAAUUCUUGAUGAUUUAAAAUUUGAAUGGAACUAAACAAAGUAAAGUUAAUCAAACCACACGAAAUACAUAUUCAAAAUGCUACAAAGUUGGUAAAAUAAAUACCAAUGAUACCCAAAAAUAUAGAGAAAGUAAAAGACUAGAUACACUAAGUUCUUUUGGAGGAAACCACUCCUAACGAUGUACGCCCCGAAAGUUGACGAUCCUAUAGUUGUUGACCCGAUACUAUGGGUCGAACUGAGUUUUGAAUGAAACUUCAACUCUCGAGUUUACAUGAAACAAAAAAUGAUAAGGAUUAGACAAACAAUUUAAGUUUCAAUAAAUGAAUGGAACAUGAAAUAUAGCAUGAGACAUAAACUUAAAAUAUAACACACAAUAGACGUUCAUUUUGCAGAAAGCAUGAACAAAUUGUUGUACAAGGACGAAUUGCACACACUACAAAUGUAUGGUCUAAUUUUUAGGCUACCAUAAUGGAUCUCUAUAGACAUCUCAAGUAACUAACUCAUUUUAUGCUUAAGUAAUUGCCAACUUUAAAAAAAUCCUAUAAAUUUAUGCUAGUUAUAUGUAAAAAAUAAGAAUAAAGCUAAGCUCAUAUAAAAAAACCAAUCAGCACUCCUUCACCAACAUGACUCCUUAAAACUUACCACCCAUGAAACUUACUAAUUCGUAUUAGUUAUGUACAACAUAUUUGACAUGAUAUUGAUGGCUACAGAGAAACAAAUAAUUCUAGCUUCUAAAAAUAAAAUGAAGAGCAGCUCUAGACCCAAAUAGAGAAACUUAAUAAUUGAGGAAAAUAGGAAUUCCAAAGAACAAAACAUGAUCAGGUAGAAAUAUGAAUCCAACACCAAUUUUAGAAGAGUCCUGACUACUGCUCUUAUUUAUAAAGCACAAGUCUAAGAAGUAUUAAAUUUUGAACUUGAAUAAGGAUAGUUAAUAUGCCCUUAAAACGCAAUCGACUGAAAGGAAAUCAUGUGACUCGGCUAAACCAACUCCUAAACGUCUUUUGGGUCAAUUAAUGGCAAAAUGUACUUUAAAGAAAUUUGAAACACAUGCAGCCCCAUAGUCACGAACAAAAUGAAACUAGUUGUUCACAUACUCUUUAAUUCAAGAAAAAUAACAAGAGACACCAACAAGGUGCUAAAUGGAACAUAGUUUGCCAUAUCUCUGCCAACUUAUAUCCACUAAUAAAUAACAAAAAAGAAAAUAGAAUCCUCAUAUUUGGCGUAUUUUAGAUACAAAGCAGACACAUACAUCGAAACCACAGAAAUUUAAAACGAUCUCAUAUUUGACUCGUAGGUAAUCAACAACAACACCAAAACGGGAUAAGUAAUGCACAUACAUACUCGCGGAAACAUGUUCAAGUUGGAGAAUUAAAGGAAUAAGGUGAUUUUCACAUUAUUCGACAUCAAAUUGUCUCAAAAUCAAAUGAGGAGGAAACCAAAUUCGAAAUCAUUUGUUUAGGAUACAAAAUACGUAAAGAAAAAAAAAGUAUGCAAAAGGAAGGAGACAAUAGCUCUCAUCUAAAAUGAAAGAAUCAAGAACAUGAUCUGGUAGUUCUAAUACAUCCUAAAACAAGAUAAAACACACAUACACCUAUUUGCAGACCCAUGUAUUCACAAGAGAAACAUUUUCUUUCAACAUCGAAGACUAUAUUUACCAG